AUGAACGCUAGCUACAGGCUUAACACAUGCAAGUCGAGGGGCAGCAUGGUCUUAGCUUGCUAAGGCCGAUGGCGACCGGCGCACGGGUGAGUAACACGUAUCCAACCUGCCGUCUACUCUUGGACAGCCUUCUGAAAGGAAGAUUAAUACAAGAUGGCAUCAUGAGUCCGCAUGUUCACAUGAUUAAAGGUAUUCCGGUAGACGAUGGGGAUGCGUUCCAUUAGAUAGUAGGCGGGGUAACGGCCCACCUAGUCUUCGAUGGGUAGGGGUUCUGAGAGGAAGGUCCCCCACAUUGGAACUGAGACACGGUCCAAACUCCUACGGGAGGCAGCAGUGAGGAAUAUUGGUCAAUGGGCGAGAGCCUGAACCAGCCAAGUAGCGUGAAGGAUGACUGCCCUAUGGGUUGUAAACUUCUUUUAUAAAGGAAUAAAGUCGGGUAUGGAUACCCGUUUGCAUGUACUUUAUGAAUAAGGAUCGGCUAACUCCGUGCCAGCAGCCGCGGUAAUACGGAGGAUCCGAGCGUUAUCCGGAUUUAUUGGGUUUAAAGGGAGCGUAGAUGGAUGUUUAAGUCAGUUGUGAAAGUUUGCGGCUCAACCGUAAAAUUGCAGUUGAUACUGGAUAUCUUGAGUGCAGUUGAGGCAGGCGGAAUUCGUGGUGUAGCGGUGAAAUGCUUAGAUAUCACGAAGAACUCCGAUUGCGAAGGCAGCCUGCUAAGCUGCAACUGACAUUGAGGCUCGAGAGUGUGGGUAUCAAACAGGAUUAGAUACCCUGGUAGUCCACACGGUAAACGAUGAAUACUCGCUGUUUGCGAUAUACAGCAAGCGGCCAAGCGAAAGCGUUAAGUAUUCCACCUGGGGAGUACGCCGGCAACGGUGAAACUCAAAGGAAUUGACGGGGGCCCGCACAAGCGGAGGAACAUGUGGUUUAAUUCGAUGAUACGCGAGGAACCUUACCCGGGCUUAAAUUGCAGAUGAAUUACGGUGAAAGCCGUAAGCCGCAAGGCAUCUGUGAAGGUGCUGCAUGGUUGUCGUCAGCUCGUGCCGUGAGGUGUCGGCUUAAGUGCCAUAACGAGCGCAACCCUUGUUGUCAGUUACUAACAGGUUCCGCUGAGGACUCUGACAAGACUGCCAUCGUAAGAUGUGAGGAAGGUGGGGAUGACGUCAAAUCAGCACGGCCCUUACGUCCGGGGCUACACACGUGUUACAAUGGGGGGUACAGAGGGCCGCUACCACGCGAGUGGAUGCCAAUCCCCAAAACCUCUCUCAGUUCGGACUGGAGUCUGCAACCCGACUCCACGAAGCUGGAUUCGCUAGUAAUCGCGCAUCAGCCACGGCGCGGUGAAUACGUUCCCGGGCCUUGUACACACCGCCCGUCAAGCCAUGGGAGCCGGGGGUACCUGAAGUGCGUAACCGCGAGGAGCGCCCUAGGGUAAAACUGGUGACUGGGGCU
rnacentral:rRNA from 1 species